GAUGAACGCUAGCUACAGGCUUAACACAUGCAAGUCGCGGGGCAGCAUGGGGGUUGCUUGCAACCCCUGAUGGCGACCGGCGCACGGGUGAGUAACGCGUAUCCAACCUGCCCUUCACCACGGGAUAACCCGGCGAAAGUCGGACUAAUACCGUAUGUUGUCCAUUGACGGCAUCCGAUGCGGACGAAAGGCUAGGGGGGGAAGGGAUGGGGAUGCGUCCGAUUAGCUUGACGGCGGGGGAACGGCCCACCGUGGCUACGAUCGGUAGGGGUUCUGAGAGGAAGGUCCCCCACACUGGAACUGAGACACGGUCCAGACUCCUACGGGAGGCAGCAGUGAGGAAUAUUGGUCAAUGGGCGUAAGCCUGAACCAGCCAAGUAGCGUGCAGGAUGACGGCCCUAUGGGUUGUAAACUGCUUUUAUGCGGGGAUAAAGUGGCCCACGUGUGGGCUUUUGCAGGUACCGCAUGAAUAAGGACCGGCUAAUUCCGUG
rnacentral:rRNA from 1 species